ACCCUUUUCCUCUUGUCCCCUAUCCUGACAUAAUAUAGUGACCUCAUAGAAAAUGCAAGUUUCUGUGGCAUUUACGAACCACAGUUCUUCUGGAGCACUGAAGGCCAGUUAUCAGCUGGAUUCAACAUCGUGUAAUCAAUUUGCAGAGUAACAUUACAGCAUGACAUAACAAAGGACAAGACCCCAGCUGCUCGGUUCCAGCAUGAAGUUGUUGCAUGAUAUACAGUGUCCUCUGCUGAAGGGAAAGGGACUUCCAUCAGAGAGCAGCAACACAUAACUUGCCUGUUUGAUUUUGUGGGAACACUUCAGCUUUACUACCUGUAUACAGGACUAUAAACACGUUUCAGCAACAAUCUGAGCUUAUUAGAUGCUACUGCUACCUGUGCUGGUGUAGCCUAAACAUAUUCAAUUCAUCAAGAUCCUGAAGCUGAAAACAAAUGAGAGUGAAAAAAGGACUAAUUGCAAAACAGGCUGUAGUAGAUCAAAAACACUUCAGUUGUCCUGAUACACUCGAGCUGACAAGUAUAGCUCCAUUAACUUAAAAAGGCUUUCUCUUCAGGACUCCAAAAAUAAGUUUAGUUUCACAAGUGUACUGCUGUUGAUGUGUGAUAUUUUAGGGAAGAAUUCAUAGUGAGGUACAGUGAGUCACACCUGACUUCU